UUUUUUCGACACAUAAUCGAAGGAGCGCUAUUGCGCUCUUGGGCGCUUUUCGAUCCUGUAACAUAUAGUGCGCAAACGGUUAAUCGCUGCGACUGCUAACUUUUUUGUUCCGUGGCGAAUACUGUCUCGCACCGUGCGUCCCGGCCGCCCGAUUUUUCUCUUCCCGUUGAUCGUUGUAGAUAGCCGUUGCCGCGGAGCACGGUGGGUGGAGGUUAGAUAAAGAGAAAGCGGGCGACGCACGUGACGGUGAUUUUUACCGAUCACGAGGAACCGGCGAACGCGGUCUCGUGUCGGUUUCCCUCGUGGACGGUGCCCGAGAGGGGAUCGAGAAUGCAAAGGAAAGCCGUUUCUCUCCCUUCUCGGCGUGAAAUCGCCUGGAACGGGUCGCGCGGGACACGGUCCGUGACGGACGCGGUGACAAUCCCGGGAUCGGUUUUCAGAGAUUCUCGCGGAAAAGGCUCGCGACGCUCGAGAUCCGUCUUUCUGCGCGGGUGCGGCCAGAAAGGUCUUGGAAAUUUCCUGCCAGAAUUUCGCAGUCGAAUUCGCGAGGAUAACGAUGUCGCGGACCGUUCGGCGCGAUCGUCGUGCAAACGAGUUUCUCCCACGGCGUCUCGCAUCGACGAAACGCUGAGAGAAAGAACCGUUCGGUUCCCAGCUUCCGACUUUCGCCGUAAAACGACCGUCGAUCUUCAAGUCGAUAGUUCCAAUUUAAGGAACCUGAUCGGACAUCGAAGCCUGAAAUACCGGAAAAAAAACACAAAUAUCUACCACUGAUCUUUCGAGCAAAUCGGCUAAUUAUCGUUGGACUCUGUUGAAAUUUCGAGGAUAAUAGUUCAGAAAUAAAAUUUCGUUGGAACAACGACGAAAAUUCAGUCGGUCAAGAUAACAAAAAGGUACGAAAGAAUGUCGCUGCGUCUGCUCGAGUUAUCGGAGACGGGAAGAGCUUCCCUUUUGUUUCCCCGGAAUUCUCUAUCUGUUUUGUGAAUGUUCGCAGUUUAAUUGUGUUGCAAAAAAAGCGUGCUAUAGGCGGCCGAGGCUUUCUCCGAUCCGCCGUCUUCGAAUCGAACGCGCGAGCCACCGGGAGACGAGGCGAGGCAGCAAUAAUUCAGGGAAACGGGUACGAUCGGCGAGGAACAAGAGGAACGAGAAUGAGGGAAGCGAGAGAUUGUGCGUGUAUGCGUGUGAAAGUGGAAAUGAGAAAAAGUGAGCGAAAGGGACGUGAUUGAAUCGAGACGCGAGGGUUGCGAUGCCUGUACAUAGGAAAGAGACGAUAAAACGAGAACGGCGUUUGCGUUUGUGAUUAUUUAUGUUGCUGAACCGAAGCGGUUUCGAUAGUGAAUUAUUGUAACGAUUCGUAAUUUUAAAGUGAUGAGAUGAAAAUCGAGGGAACAGAGGGAGAAAGAGA